rnacentral:rRNA from 1 species
UGGGGAAUAUUGCACAAUGGGCGCAAGCCUGAUGCAGCGACGCCGCGUGAGGGAUGACGGCCUUCGGGUUGUAAACCUCUUUCAGCAGGGACGAAGCGCAAGUGACGGUACCUGCAGAAGAAGGACCGGCCAACUACGUGCCAGCAGCCGCGGUAAUACGUAGGGUCCGAGCGUUGUCCGGAAUUACUGGGCGUAAAGAGCUCGUAGGUGGUUUGUCGCGUUGUUCGUGAAAACUCACAGCUUAACUGUGGGCGUGCGGGCGAUACGGGCAGACUGGAGUACUGCAGGGGAGACUGGAAUUCCUGGUGUAGCGGUGGAAUGCGCAGAUAUCAGGAGGAACACCGGUGGCGAAGGCGGGUCUCUGGGCAGUAACUGACGCUGAGGAGCGAAAGCGUGGGGAGCGAACAGGAUUAGAUACCCUGGUAGUCCACGCCGUAAACGGUGGGUACUAGGUGUGGGUUUCCUUCCUUGGGAUCCGUGCCGUAGCUAACGCAUUAAGUACCCCGCCUGGGGAGUACGGCCGCAAGGCUA